rnacentral:rRNA from 1 species
UACGUGGGGGGCAAGCGUUGUCCGGAUUUAUUGGGCGUAAAGCGCUCGCAGGUGGUUCGUUGCGUCGUGCGUGAAAGACCCUGGCUCAACUGGGGGAUGUCGUGCGAUACGGGCGAACUGGAGGCCAGUAGGGGGAUGCGGAAUUCCGGGUGUAGUGGUGGAAUGCGUAGAGAUCCGGAGGAACACCAGCGGCGAAGGCGGCAUCCUGGACUGGUCCUGACACUCAGGAGCGAAAGCGUGGGGAGCGAUCCGG